GACGAACGCUGGCGGCGUGCUUAACACAUGCAAGUCGAACGAGAAGAGAUGAGAAGCUUGCUUCUUAUCGAUUCGAGUGGCAAACGGGUGAGUAACGCGUAAGCAACCUGCCCUUCAGAUGGGGACAACAGCUGGAAACGGCUGCUAAUACCGAAUACGUUCUUUUGUCGCAUGGCAGAGGGGAAGAAAGGGGAGGCUCUUCGGAGCUUUCGCUGAAGGAGGGGCUUGCGUCUGAUUAGCUAGUUGGAGGGGUUAACGGGCCCGACCAAGGCGACGAUCAGUAGCCGGUCUGAGAGGAUGAACGGCC
rnacentral:rRNA from 1 species